GUCUCUCGGCAACGGAUAUCUCGGCUCUCGCAUCGAUGAAGAACGUAGAGAAAUGCGAUACCUGGUGUGAAUUGCAGAAUCCCACGAACCAUCGAGUCUUUGAACGCAAGUUGCGCCCGAGGCCACUCGGCCGAGGGCACGCCUGCCUGGGCGUCA
rnacentral:rRNA from 2 species